rnacentral:lncRNA from 1 species
AAGUUAUUUUUUUUUUCUUUUUAUCAAAUUAUCCCACAUAAUAGAGCUGUGUGAGGUGAUAUAAAAUACCUUAAACUUUUACCUUAAAUUCUUUAAUGAGACUUCACUUGCAACUAACAUGGACAGUAUACUGUGUGGGAAUUAUGUACAUGUCAUUCCAUCAGUGCCAGGUAAAGGUGUGCUUGAGUCGGUGUGCCAAAGAGAGUAGCUGUUAAUGGCGUUUGUAGUGUGGACUGUAUGGAACCGCCUUUCGUAGAGGAACGGGCUACUCUAAUAACAUUAGACCAACGAUUCUUAUGGAUUGCGUUACAAUUAUACCAAUAUUCACGGCAACAGUGACACAUGCUGCUUGUUUCCCGAGAGGACGAACCUCCACCCAAAGUAUAAACAUGUGUCCUAGCAUUUGAAAGCGACUGCAGAAAGCAGGACUUGCUACUAGAAGGUCUAAUAUCGUAAACCAGAAUGUGCUCAAGACACAGUGGCACUCACUCUGUAUAUUCGCAACGAAGAUAUCUGGGCCCUUGCUACAUGAAUAGACUCCUAGUAACGCUACUGCGUUGUUUUUACGCAUGCGUGGCAAACGCACUUCCCUGUCAACCAUUUCUCAGCCCUCUCGACUGACCCGCCUUCAUUACGUAUGAAUGUUUCGCGGGAACAUUGAAGACGUGAAAUAACCUCAUCUGUUCAUGUGAGAAGGUUCUGGAUAUCACUCCAUCUGAGCCCGUAUUGAAGUAAAGUUUUCGUAUCCUGGUUGAACAAAUUUAACUAUGGGCAAACAAACAGUCUUUUUGGCUUUAAUUUCUUUCGUGUUGUUUCACACCGGAAAAUUUCAAACUCCGAAAUCUACUCGGCUAAUCGAAGUACCAGACGGUGAUAAUCUCACUUUUCAGUGUGAAAUCCCCCCGGGAACCAACUUGAAGGACCGCUCUCUGGUUCUGAAACGAGUCGAUGGAAACACAAGUUACACCACACGUGUCAUCUACACCCGUCGAAAUGGAAAGGAAGAUCUUGGUUCACAGCCGGAGCAAUACAGAAACCGGGUAAUCUUCAUCAGUGGAGACCUGAGGAGAGGAUUCAUGACUGUACAGAUCCGAUCAGUCCAGCAGUCUGAUAGCGGAAAGUUCAAAUGGUUUAUCCCAAAAUCACACACCGCCUGUUUUUUUGAUGUUGUUGUGACAGAGAAGCAAAACCGUACCAAUGAGAAUGACACUAGCACAACAGCAACGUUAACAGAGGAAAUGCCAGAUACAGAUCCUGCAACAGAGAACCGUCGUCAUCAUUAUGCCCUCAUUCCCAUCUUUGCUGUUUUCAUAGCUACUGUUUUCCUGAUGCUCUUCAAGAACGGGAUUUGUAAGACAUGCCAAAGGAAAACUGAAAAAACAGACUCUGAGCUGGAAACCCAAGGUAACAAAGCAAAGGAAGGAGAUGAAGAGGAACAGCUCAAGAAACCAUCAGCAGGAGGAACUGAUGGACUGAAAGGAUAAUCUCAUCAUGGCCAGAGAAAAGAAGCUUUUUUUGAAUAUCCACCAUUUGGGCCAUUCAUCUGAUCCUUCGGUCAGUUGCUCAGGUGCAACUAAAUAUUUCCUGGAAACGUAGAAAAAAAGUAAGAUUGCAGUUAACAGAUUGUUUUAUGAAUUAUUUGGAAAAUCACUUAAUAGUAGGGCUGCCACGAUCAGUCAACUAGUCACGAUUACGUCGACUAUCAGAAUCAUCGACGACUAAUUUAAUAGUCGACGCCUCAUUUGAAGCUUUGUAAGAUCCCAAAAGACGCAGGAAUAAGUAGUAGGAUUUAAGAGUGUAAUAACGGCCUGAAACAGAAGAUGGCAGCACUGCAUGUACAAGGAUGCCAGCUGCCAUUAAAGAAGCAGUGUCCGGCAUCUUAGCUGUGUCCAAAUUCAGGAACCGCAUCCUCCUGUGCCCGCAUUUGUAGGCUGAUUACGUUACAGCCACACGGCAAAGACUGUCCAAAUUCGAAGACUCCGAAAAAUGCGGCCCAGAAAUGCGUCCUUCAUUUCCCCCUUCAGAAGGAUGUGUCGGGAUGGGUCAUGGCCCAACCUAUCCCAGAAUUCAUAGCGCGGCCCUGCUCAGUUUCCAACAAUGGCAGCAGCUAGUUAGUUUUAAUAUUACUCUUAUUAUUCUUUCUGGGUCACAAAAUAAACGUUUAACAUAUUUUCAGGUGAGAAUGUAGCUGUGUAAACUUCAAAUAUCUGCUCAGUUUAUCAAGACACCACAUAUUUUCAAAAGCGCUCCAACGUUUUCGGAGACGUCUGUUACCCACCAGCUCGAUAGCUAGCCGGGGUUGAAGGCUCACUAGAGCCGUUGAGAACACCGGACUCCCAGCAAAUCAUUUUCAAACCCACCGCCAUCUUUCGCUACUCAGGUUAAACAUGAUAUAUAAGUCACUUAGAUAACUUAAAAAUGUUAUUGUUUGGCUUUUUUUUUAUUAUUUUAUUUCUUCCUGAGUAAAUCGGUUUGGCUGAGAUUAAAGUUAUAGUUUUUACACAGCUGAAUAAACGUCAAGCAGACAACUGAUUAUCAGAAGUGUGAGAUGCUCGAGAAUAUACUCCGGUGUCCUGUUAUAUUUUAGACAGCAAGGAGCAGACGGCUGAGUUUAUUUAACUCCACCAAAACAAUCUGCAAAUUUCAUUAAAAUUUAAUAAACGAUCAUCUUGUCUUUAUUUUUAGUUAGCACAUAUCUUAAACACUUAAAGCUGUAAGCUAAUGAUAGUUAUAUAAGCGCAGAUGGAUGCUGGUGCAAUAAGAUGUACGUUUUACGUCCAAUGGAUGCAUGAUCUGAUUAGUCGACUAAUCGCAAAAAUAAUCGGUGACUAGUCGACUAUCAAAAUAAUCGUUUGUGGCAGCCCUACUUAAUAGCCCUUUGUAGCUGUCCAGGGCUGUGUUAAAAAAAAAAAAAAAGAAAAGCAGGGAUUUAAAAGCCUUCUAAGCCCAUGAAAGUGUCCACGAUCCCAUUAACCAUUUUAAAAUCCUGGAAGAAUUGCAACCAGAUAAACUAGAGCAAUAAUUUUUUGCAUAUUAAAACAGAGGAGUUGUACUUCCAUAUCAUGUAUUUAACUUGUCCCAGGUUGCAGUUUCCUUCCACUAAUGGCUUUGCAAAAAGUGCAAGAAACAACAAAAAAAUUAUUAUUAUCCAGGCAAACGUUUUGCCGAUGUGAUCAGCUGUUCACAGCACUUCCUACGUUUGAAUAAACUUUAUCAUGUUGUCAGCAGGAGCUAUCACAUGUCGCCAUUACCUCAUUUUGUGGGAAAUGUAGUUUUUUUGUUUUGUUUUUUAGAAAGUUCACUCAGCCUAUUGAAAGUCAUCUUUGACUUUCUGUAUAGUUUCUGUGACACUUAGAACUUAAAUUGCACAGUUAGAAAUAGUUUAUUUUUGAGGCACAUGCUGUUGCAGAUUGUGCACAAGAUCUAUUUUUGUUUUUGCAGCAGUUUAUAAAAAUUAGUGUUUUUUAGAAAUGAAAUUGAGGAUACAAAAUAAAUUUCCUGUGGUUCGGAACUAUUUGCAACUACUUUGCAUUUACAGUUUUCACACCUCUGACACUUGUUUUAUUAAAAAAAUGUGUUAAAAAAAAAUAUAAUUUUUAAUUUAUUUGUAGUUUUUUGCACUUUUUAGCAAUUUAUGUCAUUACUAUGGAGUUAAUGCAUACAUAUUAUUAAAAUUUGCGAUAGAGUGAUUGUAAUAUAUGUAUUGUAUGUAUAGCAACUUGAAAUGCUCCAAAUAAUGACACUAUAGCAUAUAAAAAUGUAAAGACUUGUUCUAUGAUGGGCUUAAAGGGUUAAGCAAAACUUAUCUUUCACUAAUUUUGUCAGUCUAGCUAGCAAAAAAAACCCCUGAUGGCUCAUUUUGCAGUUGCAUUUUAAACCCCUGUCAUGUGUUUGCGUAUUAAAUUAUCAUACCAUAAUUUAUUUAUAUAGCACUUUAAAAACAACACAUGGCCGACCAAAGGCCAGUAAAUAAAAAUGAGUUUUUAAUCUGGAUUCAAAAGCCAGCACUGAUGUAGAUUGCCUAAUGUGAAGAGGAAGCUCGUUCCAAAGCUUUGGGGCCACAAUAGAGAACACUCGGUCUCCUCUAAGUUUCAUCCGUGAUUUAGGGACUGAGAGCAACACCUGCUUAGCUGACUGGAGUGAAUGAGGGGGAGCAUAGGGCUUCAGCAAAUCAGACAAAUAUUCAGGUACUAGACCAUUUAAGGAUUUAAAAACCAGUAAAAGGAUUUAAAAGUUGAUCCUAAAUUUAAUUGGAAGCCAGUGUACGGAGGCCAGAACCGGAGUAAUAUGCUUAAAUUUUCUUUUGCCAGUUAAAAACCGUGCCGCAGCAUUCUGCACCAGUUCCAGGCAUGACAGAGUGCUCUGGCCAACCCCUAUUAACCCAAGCGUGAGGUUAUGAUCGUCUCAAAGAGUAUACUUAUACACUUAUACUGACAGUCAUUAAGCUUUCACAAGCUCUGAAUCAUGCUCCUGCCUACAUCUCUGAUCUUUUACAAUCGCACGCUCCCUCUCGCAGCCUGAGAUCCUCUAAUCAAAAGCUGUUGGUCGCCCUACAAACACAUUUUAAGACCAGAGGAGAUGUUUUAGAGCGGUGGCCCCCAGGUUGUGGAGUGCUUUGCCUCCAUCAUUACAUUGCCUUGAUUGAAUUUAUUCUUUUAAACAGCAGCUUAAGACUCUUUUAUUUAGAUUGGCUUUUAACUAGAAUUGUGCAGUUUGUUCGAUUGUGCUGUUUUAUGUAUAUCUGUUUUAUAUUAUUGUGAAGCACUUUGUGGUUCUUAUUCUGUUAAGAGUGCUAUAUAAAUAAAGUAUCUAUAAUUAAUUGUGUUGAAUGUUUGCUCAGUUGUGUUGAAAUGUUAUUUUGCUACAAUUGUGCUACACGUGUUUGAAAAACGUAAUUGUUUGUGUGUGUGGGGGGGGCUAAGUAUUAUGUAAGACCCUCCCCGUUUUACCUACCUUACCUUCAAGUCAGUCUGACUGGAUUUCAAAGUAAAAGCCCUUGGAAAUGUCUUUGGUGCUCCAAAAUGUCAUCAGGUUUGUUUACUUAUUGUAUUUCUUUUUUUAAUUCUGAAUUACGACAUAUGGAAACAUUGAGUUACUAUCAACUUCAACUUCAUAGUAUCUCACCCUACAGUUACUUGGCCACUCUAAAUUAACUCUUCCAUUGUGAAAUAUAAAAUCAGCCUUUUGAAAUGCACAGUGGGAGGAGAAGUGAUCUACUUCUGAAUAAGAACAAGACCAGAGAAAGUGAGUUCAGUUUGAGGACGGCUAUAAGACGGUCCAUCCUGGGACAGUAUGUUGAUCUGGUGGAGUACAGGUACCUGGAUGUGCGCACUGACAACUAGCUGAAGCAGAAGACCAACACAGAGCCUCCACACAAAAAAAAAGGGGAUGAGCGGCCUCUAUUUUGUGAAAAAGUAGCGACCCUGUAAUGUGCAGCAAAAUUAUAGAGAUGUUCUUUCCCUCAGUUCAAAUGAGCACGGUGCUGAGGUCUGCUGGUGACACCAGAAAGAAUGAAUAAACCAACCAGGAAGGCUCCUCUGUGGAGGAUUUUGAAGCUGUGUUGGUGAGAUGGUGAAAAAGACACUUUUUUGUCUUUUUUUAUAACUUUGCUACUAGAAGGAUAUAAUAAUCUGUCACGCGAGUAAUCAUUGUAGCCGAGAUUUGUACCUUUCAGAUUAGGCAAAAGCUUUUAAGUGAAUAGGAUUUCCGGAUGGUAAGUAAGUCUGCUAUGAGAUGUCCAGCCUAGUGUACUAUUAGUAUACUACUUUUCCAGAAUCACUCUGACACAGGAUAUUCCGAGUUUUGAGAGUCCUAGAGAUUUGUUGGAUGUUGAACACUUUCUGAUAGAAAAAUGACCAACGUAACGUAAUGCUAUCCAGUGGAAGUAUCUGGUCAGACACCCUGUUUCUGACGUCUUAUUCCAGGAACUUCAUUUAGUUUCAAUUUAGAAGCAGACUAUAUGUUAUAGUGAGUCUUGCAGUUUAACUGAACUUUGUUGGACUCUUGCCGAGUAAGGUGACUGGUCGUCGUCGUCGUCCCCCCACCAUUAGGGAUAUUAUUUGAAUCGUAGUUCUUAUGCUUAGUAAUACUUGAUAUACACACAAGACGCAAAACAAUGUGGGAGUUUGCAACGUGAGUAAAAGUUGAAAAAAAAAAAAAAAACCGUGUGCGAUCAGCGUCUAAAUAUAGCAAUGCAAUUUUACUGAUGCUUUAUCCUGAGGUUUGUAGCUGAUAUAAAAAGGAGAAUUUUAGAGCAUUUAAAACAAAUUCUUUUGAGCAGUGCAAUAAGGGAAUUUCUGAUGAUUCAUUGCAUUCCCUGUAAACUGACAUUUUUCCUAUAAAGAACAUUUAAUCUGAAAAACAAAAACGUGCCUAAACAGUGGCAUUUAGUGACAUUUAA